rnacentral:rRNA from 1 species
GACGAACGCUGGCGGCGUGCUUAACACAUGCAAGUCGAACGGUAAGGCCCUUCGGGGUACACGAGUGGCGAACGGGUGAGUAACACGUGGGUAAUCUGCCCUGCACUUCGGGAUAAGCCUGGGAAACUGGGUCUAAUACCGGAUAUUCAGUUCCUGCCGCAUGGUGGGGGUUGGAAAGUUUUUCGGUGCAGGAUGAGCCCGCGGCCUAUCAGCUUGUUGGUGGGGUAAUGGCCUACCAAGGCGACGACGGGUAGCCGGCCUGAGAGGGUGAUCGGCCACACUGGGACUGAGACACGGCCCAGACUCCUACGGGAGGCAGCAGUGGGGAAUAUUGCACAAUGGGCGAAAGCCUGAUGCAGCGACGCCGCGUGGGGGAUGACGGUCUUCGGAUUGUAAACCCCUUUCAGUAGGGACGAAGCGCAAGUGACGGUACCUGCAGAAGAAGCACCGGCCAACUACGUG